GGGGAUGCCAGGUCUCGACGGGAGAGGCUGGUUCCGGAUUGCGAGCCGAGAGGUACCGACCUCGUGAAAUCAGUACAAAAAAACAAGUGCCAAUCGCACAAGUUACGCAACUCUUCCUUUAGCUGCAUAAGCUAAUUGAGGACGAGCAAUGAUCUCCUAAAUGAGGUCACGUCCCCUGAAGUCGUUUUUCUGACCGAAUUCAGCCAGGAUGUCAUAGAAGUCAGAAUGCUAAGCGCCAAUUCGCGGGGUGCUUCUAAGAGAGCCUUCGGGCUCGAGCGAAUAGUCCGCUGGUAGGUCCGCAGGUGAUCUUAAAGUGGAUGAAUAUAAAUACCCUGCUACGCUCGUAGAUAUUCGAGAGUCUAAUCUUUCGGACGCGGGUUCGAUUCCCGCCAUCUCCACCU
rnacentral:tmRNA from 1 species